rnacentral:rRNA from 1 species
CCUACGGGUGGCAGCAGUGGGGAAUAUUGCACAAUGGGGGAAACCCUGAUGCAGCGACGCCGCGUGAGUGAGGAAGUAUUUCGGUAUGUAAAGUUCUAUCAGCAGGGAAGAAAAUGACGGUACCUGACUCAGACGCCCCGGCGAACUACGUGCCAGCCGCCGCGGUAAUACGUCGGGGGCAAGCGUUCUCCGGAUUGACUGGGUGUAACGGGAGCGUAGACGGCUAAUCAAGUCAGAAGUGAAAACCCAGGGCUCAACUUUGGGACUGCUUUUGAAACUGAGUAGCUAGAGUGCAGGAGAGGUAAGCAGAAUUCCUAGUGUAGCGGUGAAAUGCGUAGAUAUUAGGAGGAACACCAGUGGCGAAGGCGGCUUACUGGACUGUAACUGACGUUGAGGCUCGAAAGCGUGGGGAGCAAACAGGAUUAGAUACCCGUGUAGUC